UUUGAGUAGCACAUCUCACAGGUGUGGGUAGGUCUCCUGUGAUUGUGUCUGAGGGUGUGUUCUCUGGAGUCUGGCUGAAAUGGAGGGGGAUUCAGCUGUGUCUCCUGGCAAAGGGCCAGAGAAGGGCUCUGGGCAAGUCUUCUGCUCCUUCGGGGGAGGCAGGCUCUGCAUUGUCGGCAGCGGAGUAUCGAAUGCAUGAGAAGCUGAAGUUUCCUGUUGACAAGGAGAGAUGGAAGGAGAGGGGGAAGAAGAGAAUGAACAAAGGAAGAAAAUAAAGUCUGCCUGCUCUUAGUCCUCCUUGAUCAACACUCCAACCCCUUCCCAACAUUGUACCUUCCCACAUGGAAUUGAGAAGAGCAAGCAAAUAUGGAACAUAUAUGGCAGAAGUAUUUCACAAUUCCCUCCAGGCCCAUACUCACCUAUACUCAUUCCUAUCAGUUCUAUCUGAUGUUCUGAUCAAUUAAAAUGUAGCCUCAGAAUUGCAACACACCAUAUAUGUGUAUUGUAGCAGCUCAGAGUUCGAAAUGUUGUUGUUGUUGCUGGGGGUAGUCAAUGGCCAUGCUGCCCAAGAGAUUUUGGGAGUUGUUAUUUUUUUUUAAAAAAAAAAUCCUUUUGCAAUCUCUGUCACAAUCACAGGGGGAUCCAACUUCCACCUGCUUUACAUCUUGAAUCACAUAGUCUAAAUAUAUGCACAAUUAAUCUCUUGGCCCCUUUUGAAACUUAAGCUUUUUUUUUUUUUGCUUCAUUUGAUGUCUUGCAAACCCCGUGUACCAAACUUUGCUGCACUUAAAAGAACAGAUUAAAAAAUCUUUGUCUUGCAGCAA